AGUGAACGCUGGCGGUAGGCCUAACACAUGCAAGUCGAACGGCAGCACAGUAAGAGCUUGCUCUUACGGGUGGCGAGUGGCGGACGGGUGAGGAAUACAUCGGAAUCUACUUUUUCGUGGGGGAUAACGUAGGGAAACUUACGCUAAUACCGCAUACGACCUACGGGUGAAAGCAGGGGAUCUUCGGACCUUGCGCGAUUGAAUGAGCCGAUGUCGGAUUAGCUAGUUGGCGGGGUAAAGGCCCACCAAGGCGACGAUCCGUAGCUGGUCUGAGAGGAUGAUCAGCCACACUGGAACUGAGACACGGUCCAGACUCCUACGGGAGGCAGCAGUGGGGAAUAUUGGACAGUGGGCGCAAGCCUGAUCCAGCCAUACCGCGUGGGUGAAGAAGGCCUUCGGGUUGUAAAGCCCUUUUGUUGGGAAAGAAAAGCAGCAGGUUAAUACCCCGCUGUUCUGACGGUACCCAAAGAAUAAGCGCCGGCUAACUUCGU
rnacentral:rRNA from 1 species